UAGGGAAUAUUGCAAAAUGGGCGAAGCCCGGUGCAGCAACGCCGCGUGGGCGAUGAAGGCCUUCGGGUCGUAAAGCCCUUUUUGAGGGGAUGAGGAAGGACAGUACCCUCAGAAUAAGCCUCGGCUAACUACGUGCCAGCAGCCGCGGUAAAACGUAGGAGGCGAGCGUUAUCCGGAUUUACUGGGCGUAAAGCGCGUGCAGGCGGAUUGGAGAGUUGGAUGUGAAAGCUCCCGGCUUAACUGGGAGAGGUCGUUCAAUACUCCCAGUCUUGAGUGCAGUAGAGGGAAGUGGAAUUCCGGGUGUAGUGGUGAAAUGCGUAGAUAUCCGGAGGAACACCAGUGGCGAAAGCGGCUUCCUGGACUGUAACUGACGCUCAGACGCGAAAGCUAGGGUAGCAAACG
rnacentral:rRNA from 1 species